UUCUUCUUAGACCUCAAGAUCUUCCUCAGCUGCAGGCCUUAUCGGUCUCCGAAGGUACUCCUACCCCCACAACAACACUGGCUGCCCCUUCAGAAAAACACAACGCUCUCAACGCCGCCGACCAGCCUGGGCAUCUGCAACGUCACCCAAGGCACAACGAAGAUAUCGGCGAGAGCUCGUCGCCUGGUGAUCCAUAUGCGGCCGGGCCAUCAGCCUUGGAAAGGGAGCUACACGCCUGCCAGGAGGAAGUCCGCAGCAUGAACGUGCAGAUUCACAGGAUGCGCUACCGCAUCUCGAUGAGGAAGGUCGCCGAGGAAUGGUACCCGGUUCGUUCGUCUUGCUCCUGCCAUGUCCCUGUUCCUUCUCCCCCUUUCCAGCUCCUGUUCUCCGUUGAUGAUGUCUUGCUGUAGACGGAAAGGCGCAGCAACGAAGACUGGUUGUGGUUGUGCAAGAAGAGGACGGCGGAACUGGCAAAGCAGCACAAGAGGCUGCUUGCCGAAACCAAAGCUUCUCAAUCACAGAUUGCAAAACUGAAAUCUAAGAUCGAAUCGCUGAAGAAGGCAAGACCAGCCGAGCCCUAAGCCAUCAGAAAGCUGACACAGAGAUCGUCCGUUGGCAACUUCCAGAGCAAUCUGAACUUUUAUAUUGGAUUGGCAAUCAUCAAAACCUUUCUUUGCCUAUUUCUAGUUUACAUAUACUAGUUUUGCAUGACAUAGCAGCUGAUUCAGAUGGUAAUGGCAUUGUUAGUAGGGCAGAGUGAGAAGAAAGCCAGAGUGUCAGUGCAAUGUUAAACUGAUGCUUUUAUCUUAGAGAGGACAUGUUAUUGAUACGUAUUGUAAAAAGGA